AACGCCAGCCUCUCCGGUCAGAUCGACUCCUCCAUGGUCUGCGCCGGCGGCAGCCGCUUCUCCGGAACAUGCUACGGUGACAGCGGCGGCUCCCUGAUGACCCGCAACUCAGAGGGUCGGUACCAGGUCAGCGGGGUCAGCAGCUGGGCGCGUGUCUGCACCAUGCUGGGACACCCCAGCGUGUUCGCCGACGUCACAGGAGUGACCAACUGGAUCCAGUACACGACCGCCGGCUCGCGUUACUGUGGAGCGUGACUGGCUCACGCGCCAGCGGCGGCUCACCUCGUGCCCCCAGCCCUCCAGCCCUUCAGCCCCGCCUGUCUGACGCCCGUGCACGACCGGCAAGGCGUUAGGCCUGAACAGAUGCUCGCCGAGCCUCACUGAGUUGUUACUAGUCUUCGUGUCGCUGUCGCCCAUGCAGAUGAGCUGAGUUUUUGUGGCUGGUCGUU